UAGAGCGUGAAAUAAAAAAUCAAGUUUGUCAAAAUACUGCCAAAAAAACUCCCCACAUUUUCGUAAAGCAACACAAAAUUGAACACAACUCAACACAAGCAACGAAAACACUUCUAAAGCAAAUAAUUAUUUUUAUAAACCAUAAAAACAUGCUAUACGAGCAGAAUAAAGAAGUUAAGAAAAUACCAAAAAAAUUUUGAAACCCACAGGAUGAAUCAGGUUGGCAGAGGUAGCCAGGCAUCAUGGCGGCCCUUGACAGUGGAGAGAACGGCCGCUAUUUUGCCUGUUAUUUUUCCAUCGUAACUAAUUGAGGCAAUGGCGGAUAUAUCUAGCUAGCGGAUAUGAAAGCCUAGUCAUGGGGCUCCACUUAGUGACGUGUUAGGCUUACAAUAAGUGAGAAAUGAAGCAGAUAUUGGCGGACAAAUGGGGAAGGCUGCCUCCACCUCAGCUGAUAACAUUAAUAGUAAUUGACGAACACAACACACCACGUGGAGAGAAGCAAGGUGUGGAGUACCCAAGCCUCUCACAGUCCAUGCUAGUAGACUCACCCUGCAUGUGGAGAUCUCCCAAAAUGCACGGAGGUUAUUCCAGAGCUGCAGGACAGAGUACUUGAGGCCAUUGGUGAACAGAAAGCUGAGGUUGAACAAAGCCAAGAAUUGAUAGCUGCCCAAGGUGUAAGCAAGAUUCACAAUGAUGAGGUCAUUGUGACGUGUGCAAUGUGUCCACUGGUCUUGGCCUUCCUGACCAAGGCAGCCACACAAAGGAAAUUCCACGUUAUUGUUGCCGAACGUGCCCCUAAAUAUGAUGGUCACCCAGUGGCAAAAGCUUUAUGUACUGCUGGAAUUGAGACAACAUUAAUUCAAGACUCUGCAGUGUUCCCCAUCAUGUCACGUGUCAACAAGGUCAUCAAAGGUCAUCGUUGGCACCGAGACGGUGGUGACCAACGGAGGCAUUGAGACCUUUGUUGGUGCAGCCUCUCUUGCCUCACCACCAAAGUUUUAUUCUGUUCCACUGUAUGUGUGCACUCCCACAUACAAAUUUAGCUUGAUGGGCUGUGAAGAAAUAAGCCACCAAACCACCACUUCUAUUAUCCCAGAGGGAACAAAGUUUUGGCCGUCUGUAAAUACUGCGCUGACUCAGCUAGAUUACGUUCCUCCAGAAAAUGUCACCAGUUUGAUAACUAACAAUCGAGGUACUGCACCAUCCUACGUGUACCGGCAGCUUAGCGAACUGUACCGUCCCACUUCUUGUGUAACAAGAAGGUAACAGCUUUAAUCCUUGCAAAUAAGGAAUAAGAGAAAAGAGACACACCUGCCAUUUGUACUGUUAUGCUGUAGUGUUCUGUCAUUUUUUUCCUCUUUUAUCCUAGAACCAUUUUUGGUCAUUCAUGUUUCUAAAAAUUAUUAUACAAAAAUGUUGAGCUUAAUAUGUUUGGUGUAGUUUUUUGUAACAUGUGUUAUUGUUAAUGUGUGUGGUUCCCCUCAGGAAGAAUGUUGCAGUAUUAGCAGUAAUGUUACAGCCAAUGGAAGUGUCUGUAUUGUGCUUUGGUGGGAGGUUAAUUUGAUGUAUUUUUAGAGUUGUGCAGGAUAUUAUAGCAAGCCCUCAAAAUAAAGAAAAUAACUAUAGAAAACACUCCUUGUAUUGAAAACACCACUGCAGAGAAAUCUCUAAUGAAACAGGAAACCCUACAUUCAGUACUGUGUGGUUGUUGCAGUAACACUGAGCUAAAUGCCUUUUGGAUGGUUGUACACUAAAAAUAAUGUAAAAAUGCCUAUAAACAACUGUCCCUGCAUUAAAAACCUUUCAUCAUAAAAUUACACACAAGAUACUCAACCAGUGCAUGAAUGUUCAAGCGGUACCAUUUGCUCCCUUCUGCACAGCUUGCAGCAACACUUCUGGCGCUGCAUAGUGAACAGUGAAGCACGGUGUCUUCGUGCUGCCAUCCUUUUCCUUGUCAGGCAUCAAAUGUGCAAACCCAAAAUCCACAAUCUUAAUAACUGAAUCUUCAGAAGAAUCCUUGAACAAGAGAUUCCGUGAAAAGAUGUUUAGAUUAGAAUGGCCUCGGAGAAGGAUAAUAUCUGAAUGGAAUAAAUUCAUACUUUUUAUUAUAAAGGCCAUACAAAUGAUGGAGAUCAAUAAUAUUCCAUGCAAUAAAUUCUUUAAAAUAAGCAGAUGGAAAAUCAAUGCAAAAAAACUUCCUUUUUUUACCUUUCCUUUCUUUUCUUUUCUGUCUAUCCUCAACACCAACCCUUUUCACCCCUGUCUGGCUUUAGGUCUCCGUGAACACUGAUGCUUUUCCUGUGCACGUAGUGAACUGCUGACACCAGGUUCCUCACGACGACCGAAGCCCGAGGCGAGCCUCUGUGAACCUCUCGUGUUUCCUGAUCCUCUGAGGCAGCCAGCUCUCCACCUCCAAGGAGCUGCAUCACAAUGUAGGUGUGUGCCUGUGAAACCAACAUGAAUUAGAUACAGGCAUACAAUGAUUAAAUGCAAGGAAAAGAAAAUAAUAUGAUCUUAAACUAAUUGUUACUUAAACUGUUACUGAUAAAUCCUGUUGUUUUAUAUUGUAAUUCUACACAGUAAAAAUAUAGAUUUGAAAA